rnacentral:tRNA from 1 species
GCCUUCGUGGUGUAGUGGUCAGCAUGCUCGACGCGUAACCGAGAGGUCCGUGGUUCAAUUCCCGGCGAAGGCG